AGGCGUGUACGAUGCAAUGCAGAAAAAGUACCUGAAAACACUAUUGUUCUGCGUAUGUGAAUCAAUAGAUGGAGCAAUGAUUGAAGAAUACUGAUUUUCUUUUAGUUCCUUCUCAAGCAAGGAGGGACAUUCAAGUGUAACACCACCACUGAAGUUACUCCCAAUCAAAUGAAGUGAUAUAAAAUUGAUUCAUUCCAAACAAUUUAAUUUUCCAUCUAUUGUUGUUUGGAGAUAACCUUUUUCAAGUUAUAACUUCUGUGAUAAUUUUAAAUUUCAGGAGUUCUGCUUGUAAAAUGGUAAGUAUCUGGAUAAGAUGCCUGAAAAGGUAAACAUUUAGCAACUGAACUUUUUAAAUAUUUAUUUUACAUUGAACUGAAUUUACUAUUGUUAAUUGUGAAAUGUUCUGUGUCUGCUUCAGCGUAGUAUAUCGAUGGAACUCCUCUACUAUGAUGAUGUGACAGUAUGCCUUUCUUAUUUUCGUCUUGAAGACUUGGUUUCAUGUACCUUGGUCACUAAUGUAGUUUAAAAUUUCCCAAUUGUUCAAUAAAAUAUGAGAAAUUAAUUAUCAAAUUCUUAUUCUCCAUGUAUGUGGGUUUGGUGGUUUGAGCAUGUGUUUACUUCUUCGCCCAUUUGUCAUAAAAGUGAUGAGCUGCCGCAUUCUAGUAAAUUCUAAUGCAUAUUAAACUCAAGCAAAGUUGUCGUCUAAGUGAUGAUUUUUCCUGUUUCACAUAACAGUUUCGGCAAAGGUUUUUUAGAUCAUGCGUUAAUUUCACCACACACAUCCAUUGGACUAUGUGCCUCCAUUCUUUAGAGCCUGUGCGGAAGGAGAAGCUCAUACUCCAUUGGCCAAAAUCCUUUAAAGAUGGAGGUUGGAAAUGUCAAUAGCUAGCACUUCUUAUUAGCUCUCAAGGUGAAAAAUGUAUUUGAUCCUUGUGGAGAUGAAAAUGAUGACAUUCAAGAUGAAGUAAGCCUGGGUGCUGACUCUGUUCAGAGAGAUGAUCUUUUUACUCAGUUAAUGAGGUUAAUGGAUCACGAGAAGACCAAUUUAUUGUGGCAACAAUAGAUCUCAUGGAAGAUGAACAACAAUUGGCAAGGGUGAAGGAUUGGAUCGAUAAUCGUCAUCUUGAUACUGUUGAACUUACUGAUGUUCUCUCAAAUUUCCAAGAUAUCUCAGUGGUUUUGACUGAAGGUAAAUGAAAGAUUUGGUCCAUAUUAAAGUUUAAACAAAAAGGGAGUACACUAAUGUGCUGGAUUUCAACUUCUAUAAUAAUAAGUUUUCUAUUUUUUUCUGCUACUGUUUUUAAUUUCUUUUGAUUGAUUUUGGAAAUAAUGGAAGAACUUGUAAAGGUUGUGUUUUAUCAAGUACUGGAAAAGAGAGUUACACCAUAAACAAGCAAAAGGUUAUUUUCUUUUUAGUUUACUCUUUACCUGCUUUAUAUCACUCUCCUUGAUGGGAUGAAAGACAACCACAGAAGUUUCAAUAUGAGCUAUCAUAGGCAUCUUGUGAGUUGUGUCUAUGACUCCUAUGGCACAUUCUGACUUCAUUAUUGUAACUUUAGGCUUUGUAUCAUGCUCUUCCAAUGAAAUACGUGUCUGUUGCAAAGCUUCAGAACAAGCUGGACGGUCAGGCGAACCAGAUUGUUAUCCGAAGGCUUAUAAAUAAGAUAACUUGAGAUGGUUUUGUUGAAGCUAAAUAUGUGUUGCCACCCUAGUAUGUGCUCCAAAUGAUUUUAGAGGAUUAAUCCUGGUAAAUUUACUUUGUUAUCAAUCCAUUGUUAAUGCAGGCAAGCAUGUCAUCCACUCCAUUCUGACAGAGAAAAAGCUGCUGGAAUUCAAGAGAGCAUUAAACAUUGAUGCUAUGGUGAUGAAUUAUAAUUUUGGUUAUGCAACUCUGCAAUCUGCAUAAUGUUUAAUUAUUCUCCAACUCUUCCUAAUGGAGCAGGAUGCGAAUAUCAAUGAACCACAACGAGACCAAUCAUCCGGAAUUGCAAAGAAUUGAGUUAAAUGAAAUGUUUCCCUCGCAAUUGACCAGCCAAUAGCAUCAAGGGAGAGCUGUCCCAGGAUGUGAGAACAUCAGAGUAAAUGAGAACUGCGGCGAGGUGGGCACUGUAGUUUGUAAUAAAAUAGACAAGUAACUGCUUCCUUCUUCUACUGGUGACUAUGGUCAGAGAACAUGUGUUAAUUGACCAUAAUCAAUAGAGUCUGGAUUGUUUGAUGUAGAAAGUUGGUGAAUGUUCAUUUGUUGGUACUUUCAAUUUAUGGGCUGAGAAAGUUCACGUUAUCUGCCUAAAUGAUGGAUUACUAAAUGAGAAUUUACCUAUGCAGCCUUCUUAGUACUGUGUUUUGUGGUUUAUAGUAAUUGGUAUGAGAUGGUAAAUGUUUUCCACUCAGAGGUGAGAUUUAUUUGCAAGUUGGGAUUUAUGUGAAAGAAGUCAUUGGGAUGAAAACGCAUGAAAUUGGAAGCUCUUU